CCUACGGGAGGCAGCAGUGAGGAAUAUUGGUCAAUGGACGAGAGUCUGAACCAGCCAAGUAGCGUGAAGGAUGACUGCCCUAUGGGUUGUAAACUUCUUUUAUAUGGGAAUAAAAUGUUCCACGUGUGGGCUUUUGUAUGUACCAUAUGAAUAAGGAUCGGCUAACUCCGUGCCAGCAGCCGCGGUAAUACGGAGGAUCCGAGCGUUAUCCGGAUUUAUUGGGUUUAAAGGGAGCGUAGGUGGAUUGUUAAGUCAGUUGUGAAAGUUUGCGGCUCAACCGUAAAAUUGCAGUUGAAACUGGCAGUCUUGAUUACAGUAGAGGUGGGCGGAAUGCGUGGUGUAGCGGUGAAAUGCUUAGAUAUCACGAAGAACUCCGAUUGCGAAGGCAGCUCACUGGACUGCAACUGACACUGAGGCUCGAAAGUGUGGGUAUCAAACAGGAUUAGAUACCCUAGUAGUC
rnacentral:rRNA from 1 species